rnacentral:lncRNA from 1 species
AUGGAAAAUAGUGUGUCGCGGGGGGGUAUGGAUUCCCGUCAGGAAAAAAAAAAAAAAAAAAAAAAAACGGGGGGGGGGGGGGGGGGGGGGGUCCCCGGGGGGCCCGCAGCGGGAGGGGCGGGGGGGGGGGGCGGGGNNNNNNNNNNNNNNNNNNNNNNNNNUAUGGGUUCCCGUAAGGAAAAAAAAAAAAAAAAAAAAAAAACGAAGGAUCGGAGGGAGAAGCUGGAUCCUGGGGGUGCUGCAGGGGAAGGAGCGGGGUUGGGGUGCGGGGUGCCUCAGUGGAGGUGGGCUUCCGCUUGCUGGCUGCCGGCACUCAGACGUAGCUGCCCCGGCACAGUACGGUGGCAGGGCUGUUGUUACCAACGCCCACCCUCGCAAAGGCCCGUCAGGGGUCUGCCUCACCCCCAGUUCCCCGCUUCCCUCAGCCCCCACCGCCCCAAGCCAGACCCGGCACCCGCGGGUCCCCCCAGAGCCGGGCACAGCCCCAAGCGCGUGUCACUAGAGGGCACUCGGGUUAUUUUUUCCGGCGAGGCUGCGGUGUUGGUAUUCCUGACACGCGCCGUGCUCCUGGAGCGGAUCGGCGAUGCCCUCCUGUGGGGCUGGGAGGACUUUCGGGGGGCUGCCACGGAGCGGGGCGGCGGUGCCAAGGGGUGCUGCUGGCGGAUCCGGGAGGGCGGCGGGCCCUGCGUGCCACCAGCCCUGCUCCCGCAUGCCAGCCCUCCGGCUGGCCCCGGGGGAGCCCGGGGGAAGGAGAGGGGCCCCAAGCCCGGGCUUUCAGCAGGCCACGGCUGCAGUGAGCUGAGCUUCAAGCAGAACAAGAGCACUGGCACCGCCAGCACUCGGUGCUGGGGCUGCAGGGGGCUGUGGGGCCGUGACGAAUUCCCUGGUGGCUCCCCCAGCCCCGGAGCAGCCGUGUGGGAGAAGCACCCGCGGCAGCCUCGGCCUCACCGCCAGCCCCCAGCCCUCGCCAGGAGCAAAGCACGCCUCCCUCCUCCGGCUGUGCACGUUUCCCUCUCGCAAAUGACGUCUCAUUAG